UACCGAGGUCUCAAACGUUGUUCGGAUUCAUUGGGCGUAAAGGGUGCGUAGGCGGCGCGGUAAGUCGGGUGUGAAAUCUCGGAGCUUAACUCCGAAACUGCAUUCGAUACUGCCGUGCUUGAGGACUGGAGAGGAGACUGGAAUUUACGGUGUAGCGGUGAAAUGCGUAGAUAUCGUAAGGAAGACCAGUGGCGAAGGCGGGUCUCUGGACAGUUCCUGACGCUGAGGCACGAAGGUCAGGGGAGCAAACGGG
rnacentral:rRNA from 1 species